rnacentral:rRNA from 1 species
GCCUUCAUGAAGCCGGAAUUGCUAGUAAUGGCAGGUCAGCAUACUGCCGUGAAUACGUUCCCGGGCCUUGUACACACCGCCCGUCACACCAUGAGAGUUGGGAAUACCCGAAGCCUGUGAGCUAACAUUAAGAGGCAGCAGUCGAAGGUAGAAUCAAUGAUUGGGGUGAAGUCGUAACAAGGUACC